AGUGAACGCUGGCGGUAGGCCUAACACAUGCAAGUCGAACGGCAGCACAGUAAGAGCUUGCUCUUACGGGUGGCGAGUGGCGGACGGGUGAGGAAUACAUCGGAAUCUACUUUUUCGUGGGGGAUAACGUAGGGAAACUUACGCUAAUACCGCAUACGACCUACGGGUGAAAGCAGGGGAUCUUCGGACCUUGCGCGAUUGAAUGAGCCGAUGUCGGAUUAGCUAGUUGGCGGGGUAAAGGCCCACCAAGGCGACGAUCCGUAGCUGGUCUGAGAGGAUGAUCAGCCACACUGGAACUGAGACACGGUCCAGACUCCCAGGGGGGGCAGCAGGGGGGAAUUUUGGAAAAGGGGCGAAAGCCUGAUCCAGCCAUACCGGGUGGGUGAAGAAGGCCUUCGGGUUGUAAAGCCCUUUUGUUGGGAAAAAAAAGCAGCAGGUUAAACCCCCGCUGUUCUGACGGUACCAAAAAAAUAAGCACCGGCUAACUUCGU
rnacentral:rRNA from 1 species